CAGGUAGGCGUUCUGUCAAGUUUUGGGUGAAAUCCUUUGGCUCAACCAAAGAACUGCCUGAAAAACUGACGGAAUUGAGGCUAACAGAGGAGAGCGGAAUUCCCGGUGUAAGGGUGAAAUCUGUAGAUAUCGGGAGGAACACCAGUGGCGAAAGCGGCUCUCUGGGUUAGUCCUGACGCUGAACUGCGAAAGCUAGGGUAGCAAACA
rnacentral:rRNA from 1 species